CAGCCGCCGCGGUAAUACGAAGGGGGCUAGCGUUGCUCGGAAUGACUGGGCGUAAAGGGCGCGUAGGCGGAUUGCGCAGUCAGAUGUGAAAUUCCUGGGCUUAACCUGGGGGCUGCAUUUGAGACGCGUAGUCUAGAGUGUGAAAGAGGGUCGUGGAAUUCCCAGUGUAGGGGUGAAAUUCGUAGAUAUUGGGAAGAACACCGGUGGCGAAGGCGGCGACCUGGUUCAUGACUGACGCUGAGGCGCGAAAGCGUGGGGAGCAAACAGGAUUAGAUACCCGCGUAGUCCCUGUCUCUUAUAC
rnacentral:rRNA from 1 species